ensembl:lncRNA
AUGGCGGCCCCCGUGUCUGUUCAGGUGGAGUUCGGAGGCGGAGCAGAGCUCUUAUUUGACGGUGUAAAGAAGCACCAGGUGACCUUACCCAGUCAAGAGGAGCCUUGUGGGCAUAUUUCCAAUAAACCAAAUCUAGUCUAGAUUGCUACCUUUUAAGAGGAAGGUAGAAAACUGAAGAGGAUCCAGGCAAAGGCAUCUUGAAUAAUUAAAAGGAUAGGAAACAAAAGGCAAAAGAAUCAGGAUGAUUUGGUCUGAAAAAGAAAAGGGGAUAUCCGAAACCUUCUCAUCUGGAUAAGGAAGAACCUGUUAAAGGAGCGGCCAGAGUUAUUUAUCCAGGGAGAUAGCGUGCGACCAGGGAUUCUGGUACUAAUCAAUGAUGCUGACUGGGAGUUGCAGGGUGAAUUGGACUACCAAUUACAGGACCAAGACAGCAUCCUCUUCAUUUCCACACUACAUGGUGGUUAGAGCAUCUAUCCUCCUCCAUCCUUCAGUUCCUUCAGCUCCCAGGGACCUUCAGGGCAGAAAACAUCCAAAAUGGGGGAACAAUAGAGACAGAAAUCCUCCCCCCUCUCCUCCUUCCCCCACAGCCGGAGCAUGUGGGACAACAAGCUUGCCAUGACUUUGUCUUCAUGAAGAAGGACCAGCAGCAAAAGAGACCCAGGCAGUCCUGCUCUCCUGCCUCUUCCCCUUGCUGCAUUCUUCCCACUCCCUCUCCAGCCUUAGCAGCUUUCCCUCCGGGAAGGGAAAUGAGGCCAGGUACUAAAAAUGUGCUGCUUACAGCUCGUGUACUAGUGGAAGAAGCUACUACCACCUCCUUCCCCCAAAUGGGAGGGGGGCACAGCUUUGCCAAGAGACCUGCCCCAGAUUGCUCCCUUCUGUAAUCUGUGCCCCCAAGGGAGGUAGUAGCCCUUCUGCCCCCACUACUCUGCAGGCAAGUUUGUGAGCUCUGAACCUCUAUGUUCCCACCUCGUAUGGCACUGUUCCAGUAUUCCAAACUGUGUCAUCUUGAGCAAGUCAUUCAUCACCCUGAGUUUUAGUUUCCUGCUCUGUGAAAUUGCCUUUUGGCAAUUUCUAAGGACCCUUUCAAGCUCUAGAAUUCUGACUGAGAUUCCUUGCCUCAGUUUCCUCUCUCAGAAGCAAAGGGCUCCACCUGCUUCUUCUAGUGUCAUUACUGAACCACAGCUGGGGGCCCCUAUUCAGUGCUGCCUCUUCCUCCUCCUUCUGCCUGGAUGCCCCCAGCUGCUCCAACCUUGCUCCUCUGACUCCCCUAGCCCUUGACCUAGGCCUGCCCUAUAGUAUAGAGGCUACCAGAUGGACUCCCCCAGAGAUAAAAAACUGCCUGAAGACACCUGGGCUCUGUGCCUCACUGGGGAGGGCUUUGGGUCGCUUCCUCGUGCCUCAGUUUCCUCUCCAGUGCCUAGGAUUUUACCAUUGUGAACUGAGGUGGUGCCAGAAAACCAGGGCACAAGAAACUGCUUUGUGACAUAUUUGGGACCUCCAGCUUCUCGCCCCACAGCAUGCAGACCCAUCUGGAAGCCAACAUGGCGGUGCUUGUAACAGCCGGCAUUGGGCAAAUAAAGGCUUUCAUGCCUGUC